rnacentral:rRNA from 1 species
AGCGUGUGCGCGAGUCAUUGGGUGAAAAACCUAAAGGCGCAAUGAAAGUGUCAGUGGAGGGCAUCCCCCGGGAUGUCCCUCCCGCAGGGAGGAUGGGUUGCCCGGCGUCCCCUCGCCGGCCCCCCGCACUCCCGGGGCGUCUCGUUCUCACUGCGAGUGGAGACGCACCAGGAGCGCACACGCUGGUACCCGAAAGAUGGUGAACUAUGCCUGGCCAGGACGAAGCCAGGGGAAACCCUGGUGGAGGUCCGAAGCGAUUCUGACGUGCAAAUCGAUCGUCUGAGCUGGGUAUAGGGGCGAAAGACCAAUCGAA